rnacentral:lncRNA from 1 species
CAGCUGAUUAAGAGAACCAAUGAGUGGAUGUGUGAUAACAGAAUAACAGUAACUAGAGAUGAUAAGUUAAAAAAGCUAGUACUGUUAAAAAAGAAUUUUUACGAUGAGUCUCUUGUUAAUUACUUUAAUGAAUCUAAAGCAGAAUUACUACCAGGCAACCCAACUGGAGCACUGGAUAAAGAAUCCUCUAAACUACUGAACAACAAGGAUUUACCUCCCUUUUUUAAAGUUAAAAAAACCCCCAACCCAGUUUGUCUAAGGCUGUUUGCCUUUGCUAAAACACACAAGACUCCACUCACCUUUAGGCCCAUAGUAGAAAAAUGAAGGUCGCCGAUAUAUGGCUUGGAGAGGCUGUAGCAAUCUGGAUAAAUGCUUACCUGAAAGAACAUCCCUAUACUUUACCAUCACUGGAAGAGUUUUUGAAUAAAACAACAUCUGUCUGCUUUGAGAAGUUACAUACAACUUUGAGAAGUUGUAUCCCUCCCUGAAUACUGCUCCAGUUUGUAUUAACUUAUAUAGGUUUUUCUUAAAAAAAAAAAAAAAAUACCACA